UGGAUCCAGACUUUGAUCAUGGCUCAGGAUGAACGCUAGCUACAGGCUUAACACAUGCAAGUCGAGGGGAAACGAUAUUGGAAGCUUGCUUCCGAUAGGCGUCGACCGGCGCACGGGUGAGUAACGCGUAUCCAACCUGCCCAUCACUUGGGGAUAACCUUGCGAAAGUAAGAUUAAUACCCAAUGAUAUCUCAAGAAGACAUCUGAAUGAGAUUAAAGAUUCAUCGGUGAUGGAUGGGGAUGCGUCUGAUUAGCUUGUUGGCGGGGUAACGGCCCACCAAGGCGACGAUCAGUAGGGGUUCUGAGAGGAAGGUCCCCCACAUUGGAACUGAGACACGGUCCAAACUCCUACGGGAGGCAGCAGUGAGGAAUAUUGGUCAAUGGGCGAGAGCCUGAACCAGCCAAGUAGCGUGCAGGAAGACGGCCCUAUGGGUUGUAAACUGCUUUUAUAAGGGAAUAAAGUGAGCCUCGUGAGGCUUUUUGCAUGUACCUUAUGAAUAAGGACCGGCUAAUUCCGUGCCAGCAGCCGCGGUAAUACGG
rnacentral:rRNA from 1 species